UUUUGUUUUAUAAAAGUUUUGAAAACUUUUUUAGAGAAAAGAAUUUCUCAACAAAUU
rnacentral:tRNA from 1 species